rnacentral:rRNA from 1 species
UAGAGGCCUACCAUGGUGGUAACGGGUAACGGGGUGUUAGGGCACGACACCGGAGAGGGAGCCUGAGAAACGGCUACCACAUCCAAGGAUGGCAGCAGGCGCGCAAAUUACCCAAUCCCGACACGGGGAGGUAGUGACAAUAAAUAACAAUACGGGGUUCUUUAGGAUCUCGUAAUUGGAAUGAGUACAAUUUAAAUCUCUUAACGAGGAACAAUUGGAGGGCAAGUCUGGUGCCAGCAGCCGCGGUAAUUCCAGCUCCAAUAGCGUAUAUUAAAGUUGUUGCAGUUAAAAAGCUCGUAGUUGAAUUUCGGGAUCAAUUUAUUGGUCGUGCUAUUGUACGUACUGGUAUUAUUGAUUUCUACCUUCUGACGAACCAUGAUGUCAUUAAUUUGGUGUCAUGGGGAAUCAGGACUGUUACUUUGAAAAAAUUAGAGUGUUUAAAGCAGGCUCACGCUUGAAUACAUUAGCAUGGAAUAACGAAAUAGGACGUUUGAUUCUAUUUUGUUGGUUUCUAGGAUCGACGUAAUGAUUAAUAGGGAUAGUUGGGGGCAUUAGUAUUCAAUUGUCAGAGGUGAAAUUCUUGGAUUUAUUGAAGACUAACUACUGCGAAAGCAUUUGCCAAGGAUGUUUUCAUUAAUCAAGUACGAAAGUUAGGGGAUCGAAGACGAUCAGAUACCGUCGUAGUCUUAACCAUAAACUAUGCCGACUAGGGAUCGGAUGA